rnacentral:rRNA from 1 species
CCUACGGGAGGCAGCAGUUGGGAAUUUUGCACAAUGGACGAAAGUCUGAUGCAGCAACGCCGCGUGGAGGAUGAAGGUUUUCGGACUGUAAACUCCUUUUGCUAGGGAGCAAUUUUUGAGAGUACCUAGCGAAUAAGCACCGGCUAACUCCGUGCCAGCAGCCGCGGUAAUACGGAGGGUGCAAACGUUGUCCGGAUUUACUGGGCGUAAAGCGCAUGUAGGUGGCUUAGUAAGUGAACGAUUAAAGACCGACGCCUAACGUCGGGAGGGUUGUUCAUACUGCUAAGCUUGAGAACAGCAGGGGUACGCGGAACUUUGAGUGUAGGAGUGAAAUCCGUAGAUAUUCAAAGGAACACCAAUGGCGAAGGCAGCGUACUGGGCUUUUUCUGACACUGAGAUGCGAAAGCGUGGGGAGCAAACGGGAUUAGAUACCCCGGUAGUCCACGCCGUAAACGCUGCUCACUAGGUCUUGGAGGGUAUCGACCCCCUCUUGGCCGUAGCUAACGCGUUAAGUAGAGCCGCCUGGGGAGUACGAACGCAAGUUUAAAACUUAAAAGGAAAGUUAGACGGCGUGAGACGNGCGAACGGACGACACGAGGGAGGUUAGG